UACCUUCGCGCCACAUUUGGUUUGCAUCUGAAAAUUUUUCAGAGCAAUUAAAAGGGAAUUAGGUGCCAUUGGUUAAUACCAAUCUAAACCUGAGCUGUUCCCGCAACUGUAAGCUUUGUCCGCCGUAGGUGGAUGCCUGUAAUUAAAUCUUCAAGAAAUCCACUGUCCGCCUCGGCGAAUGGGAAGGAGAAUUACCGGACGCGAGCCAGGAGACCUGCCACUUGUCAAUCAAUUUA
rnacentral:ncRNA from 2 species